AGUAGAAAUAAAGCAGCAAUCAAACUGAUCUUUUCAUCUAGAUUAGAGGAUUCCCUUACACUGGCAUUGGAGUGCAGUGCUUUACCUUCUGAACUGGACGCAAAGAAAUCAGUGUUCACUCUGGAAUCCCUGCAAUAACCAUAUUUCACAGAGGAUAUAUUCCAGAGUCCUUAAUGUAGUUGGCUUCACCGAAUUCCAUAUGACAAAGUCUUCAUGAGGUGCAGAUCUGUUUUAGAACUAAGAAUAACCAGACACUUCAUUAUA